CUCACCGGCUCCGCCAGGCGGGUCCCUGAGGAGCCGGGUUCCCAAGGCUUCGCACGCUGGGCCCAGGCCUGUCUAGCUGCCGGGACGCGUUGCUGUGGCGAUGGCCUUGGGGACCCGGGCAGUCAGGUGCAGCACCUGUACUGGCUGAUGAUCUCAAACUGACACCAGACUACGGAAAUAACGUGGCCUGAAGCGCAUUAAGUUUUAGAACGGCUGGGCUCUUGAGCAGUAACUUCAAAAUAGGUUCUAUUAGAACCCUUUUAACUUUUAGCACUCCUCUGGUUGUUAGCCAGCUCCUGGGACGCUGUCAAGUAUAACCUUUACUGUGUUCGUUUUAGAGGUCAAACAAGAAAAUCACAGGAAGGGGCAUGUAAAGAUACACUCUGCUGAGACAAUGAGAGUUAUCUAUACUAGAUUGUGAAUCACUUUCCUGAAUUUGAUGGUAAGCAUGUAGACUCGUGCUCUGGAAGAAUACUGGUGAGGUUAAUGUUUUGUACUUUGUUAUGUAGGAGUUCAAACUUUGGAAGAAAUCUUAGAAUAUGUUUGGCGUGCUAGUAAUUUUUACCUGCUGCUACAGAAUACAGAUUUUAAGAUGUUAAAAAGGUAUGCAAAGUGACUGAGAUAUGUGGCUGACACAGACGAGCAGAUUUUGAUUCAGCUUGCCCUUCAGGCAUCCCCCAAGUCCUUAUGACAGGUUAUAGAAGCAAAAUCUCAUAUGAGGUUUCCUCUGAAGUGUCUGGGGUAACCGGAGACUUGGACUGUAUGGUUCAUUUGUGCUGAUUUGGCAAUUGUAAACGAAGCGAGUAAUAAUUAACCUGUGUAUUGUCUUCAGCAUCCCUUCUGCAUGCUUCAGAGAUCGGUUUAAUCCUAGACACUGUGUGGGAUUGCUUUAAAACAAACAAAACCAAAAUACUCUAUUGGCAUCAUUUUAAAACCAAAAUAUUGCAUUGGCAUCAUUUUAUCAGUGUAAACAAAUAAGGUUAUUACUCUAUACAAGUUGCUUGGAGGAGUUCUUUGCUUAAAAUUUUAUAUGUGUUUAACAGUUCUGAAAUUAGAGGGUGAGUCUGGUUUUAGUGACCUUUCUUCCUCAUUCUUCUAAGAGUGAAGUGCUACUCUAGAGACACGGCAUGCCACAUUCAGCUGUCUGAAAUUCUUUGCAAUUAAAUUUUCUAGAUAUUAAGAUAGUCUUCAAGAAUCUAUAACUUUUGAAAAGGAAACUUUUAAGAGACACAUUCGAUAAACUCAGAGAUUGGAAAAGAUCAGCAAGUAUUAAUGUACUUUUCUUCCCCUUUCCAGUAAACUACUGGAUGCUUUUAGCUAAUGGAUCAUAAACUGCAAGCCAAAGUUCUUGGUCAUUAUUUUGAAUAAUGACAAUGUAAUUUCCAAUGUGACUGCUAUUGUUACAAAUGUGUCUGGCACAAUUAAAGACUGCAGUGGUUUAAAUAGCUUUUUCAUUUAUCCAUUUGUGUAUGUGUAUGUGUGUGCUUGAGCACAGUUACACACAUACACACACACACACACACACACACACACACACACACACACACACACACACACACACACGCAGUGUCACUGGGGUUGAGGUAGAAGCCAGAGGACAACUUGCAGAAAAUCACUCUACCAUGGUAGUUCCUGGCUGUUAGACAAGCAUCAUCUCUUGCUGAGUCAUCUCCCCAGCCCAAGAUCACAGUGUUUUGAUACCACUCUACCACUCUAAUUUAAAAAAUAUUUGAUUUUAUGUAUAUGUGUGCUCAAGCCUGAGAGAGAGAGAGAGAGAGAGAGAGAGAGAGAGAGAGAGAGCCAUUUCCAUGCAGGAACCUUGGGAGAUCAGAAAAGUCUCCAUCAGAUUUCCAUGGGACUGAAAUUAACAGAGUGAUAUGAGACACCAUGUCAGUGCUUAGAACCAAACCCUGGUUCUCUGCAAGAGCAGUAAGUGAACCUCUACAUCUCUCCAGUCUCCCAAGACAUCUACUUUUAUGGUCACUGUUUUCUAUUUGCAUUGCCUGGAGACAUUUUUGUUGUCAAAAUAGGGAGUUGAGUGCUAUUAGUUUCUGGAAGGAUACUACAUGGUACAAAACACAACAACAGGAAAUUAACCAGCCCCAAAUGUUGGGCAAUUAUAAAUGCCUACAGAAUUCUCUCAUGUCGUGUGGUUUUUAAGCAUGAAAGCUUGUUUUUUAUACUAUUUAUGGAGAAAAUGUACAUUUAAAUUUAUGCUAUUUUAUGGACACAAUGUUCAAAACAUGAAGUCAAUUUGGAAGAAUGUCUUCUAUUAGUGAACAACUGACUUACAAUAUAAUUACACCAAUUUGGGAUAAUAGAAAUAUUUUACUGAAUGUAUUUCUUAAUGAAAUUAAGAAAAUGCUUCCUUACCUAAUAAUCAGAAUCAGUUCCUCAUAUUUAUUCUAUUAAAUAUUCUGGCAUUUAUGUCCUGGGACAGUGUAUCCAUCAUGAUUCAAUAUAGGUAAAGGAUAUCCCUGUUGUAAAGACUAUAAAGGCAAUUUGUGUGUACCACGGUACCCAGAGCAGUAGCUGAUGCAAGUGAUUUUCCUGUUAGUGGUUGUUAAAUGAACAGCUAAGUAAACAACUGAAGGAAUAAAGGAUAAAAGUAAUGUAAUAAUCCAGGCUACAAAUGGCAUUAGCAGUGAAGCUAACUGAGAUACAUAUCCAGAAUGUGCCAGUACUAUGAAUGUGACAGACAAACAUCAGAGAUGGUGUCUCCUAGUAAUAGCAGAAGCUACUCCCAUAAAAUCUCAUCAGCAUGAUUGUCGGAACAGAGCUGAACAAGGACACCACCAAUGGACAUGCCAGAGUGGGUGGGGAAAGCCCAUGAGCCUCAACCCUACAAUAUGGGCAACUCAGAAAAGCUGGGAGCAGGAGAGGUGGUCUUCCUUAGGAAAAAAAAGAGCACACCAACUGUACCAGUACCAAAUGGUCAGCCCUGAAAACAUACAAGUAGCAUGAUAUGGACUGAACCUGUUAUAUUUAGGAAUAUAGGCAUAGGCAUGUAUGCAUGCAAUGACAAUUGGUGGAAAAAGGGUCUUGAAUGUGAAUGAGAGUAGGGAGGGCUAGGUAGGAGGAAAAGGAGGAAUAGAGGAAAUAUAUUAAACACAAAAAGAUAAGCAAUUGGGAGAGAGGGCCUGGCACCUUGCCUGCACUAAACAGUAGAGCUGGCCCUGACAGUAUGAGUGAGGGGUCCUGGCUCUGAGAGCCCGAGAGCAGGAGCACUAGCACCUGCUACUUGCUGUAGGCUUCAUUGAAUGAGCUAGCUGAGGCAGUGCUGGAGAGGUCAUAUGUGUAGUAAAGAUAUGGGAAAGCUAGAGUGAGCUAACCAACCCAGCUACCACCCAGGCCCAGAACCAUGCCUAUGAGUUGGCCCACCCCAACAUCCACCAAAUCUACGCAUUGUUGGACCAUGUAAGGGGGAGGAACCUACAGGUCCAAAACAGAGCCCAUUAUCAGUGUAGCAGAAACCAGAGGCCUCAAGCCUGCCCAAUGAUCGGUGGCAAUGAACAUUUGGAAGUAAAGAUGAAUAGACUAAAGUGUAAACUCUGUGUCUCAACUGGCCACAUUAUAGCUUCCACAAUAAGAUUUUUCCUUUCUUUGUUUGUUUUUGUUUUGUUUGUUUUAUUUGGUUUUGUUUAGAGGAAGAGGUUGCAAGGACAGAGGAAGCACUGGGAGGGACAGGGAGAUAAGUGGGAUCAGAAUUCCUGAUGUGAAAUCCACAGGGGAAAAAAAAGUAAAAUAAAAAAUAAAAGUAAAUAAAAAAAAGAAGGUGAAAGACGUUGUGGUUCUAAAUUUGUAAAAUCCAUUUUUAAAAACUCAGCUAUCCUGAAACAGCAACCAUUGCUCCCAACACUGUGGUAAGAAUAUCUUUGCAGCAGGAGAGAGGCCCCAUGGAUGAAAGUAACGCACUUCCUGCCUGGCAGAAGACGGGUUGGACACCGGCACCCGUGUUAGCUCGCAACUGCCUGACUCUAGCUCUAAUAUAUCCCACACUCUUUGCUGGCCUCUGCAGGCAUCUCCACCUGUACAUACUCACAUAUAAACCCACAUACGCACAUACACAUCAUUUUCUAAAGAAUAAAUCUUCUUACUGAACUGCGGACUAACUGUUGAAAGUAAGGUAUCCACUUCCAGUAUGGCCUAUAAGAUGUCCUUUGUGGUUUCCCUAGUUUUUGGAUAGGCUACAUGCAAAGGACCUCAAAAUAUUGUAAAGAUACUGUAAAGGAUGGCUUGAACUCAUAUAUUUUUGCAACACCAGGGUAUCUAGUUGGUAACUUGUAUUUCUACAUCUAGAAGACACCACGGUCUUUUCACAAAAAAGCAAAAAAUGAAAAAUGGUGUUUUUAAAGGCUGUUUCCUGGCAUCAGCUCAGAAGCCACAUAUCAGAAACCUUUAAGCUUCAGAUGAAAGGCAGUGAUGUCUCUUGGGAAGUGCAAAACAGAAGCAGUUUUCAGUCACCUCUUGGCCCCAUGAACUAGUGGCCUCCAUGUGCUUCAGAAUCAAUUCUUUCCAACUUUUAAUAUUUUGGGGGUCACUCAAUCAUUUAAUCACAUUCCAAUUAUGUCCCUUUGGCAUUCAUUCUUUUCCUAUUCUCUAUCUCUUGCUACAAGGUUUCUAGUUCUACACAGAACCCUACUGGUCUCUGCCUGCUUAUAUUUUAAUUAUAAGCUUAUUGCUACCUCCUGGUAGUAUUUCUACCAUUUUUGUUACUAAAUGUAUCUCACUUGCAACUCUCUAGAAACCAACAUUCAAAUCAUUUCUUUAGCCCAAAUGACGUUAUAAUUUUCUUUCUUGCAAAAAUAGAAGGGAUGUGUUUGUUAUUGUUUCCCUCUUCUUAAAGACCUAAAGAAUUUGUGUUAGUGGCAUUCAUGGUUUUUUUCUUUUUCCUGAUUGGUGAUAGUAACUAUUGAUAACCAAACUAUAUCAAUGUAUUACAAUGACACUGAGCAGUAAAAUAACACCACAUUUUACAUAUCAAAGUUCAAUUGACCUGCUCUAAAAGUCUUAGUCUUUACCAAAUCACUGUUGACAAAAUGAUGGAUGCUGUACUCCUCUGAGAGCUUCCUUAUGGGAUUAUUUAAAAUUCUCCCUCCCCAUCUAUUUGGAGUGUCUGUACUGCCUUGGCCCAAAUCAAAUAUUGCUUCAGGCAUUUGGACAAUGUAAUGACCUACCUUGUCUUUUAGGCUUUGGCUCUGGCAAAGUUUGAAGGGACCUUGUUAAAUGUUGUCAACGCCCAUUAUUAUAAACCUGGCUCAUAUUCUCCAGGGAUAAUUGCCGGUUUGAUUCUGUAUCUAGGAUCGCCCAAUCAUUCCCUUAAAGGGGAAGGAAAAAAUAUGUUUUUCUGGGGAAAGCAUACUUUUUUUUCACUUAAGGAUUAUGCAACCUAUGUCACAUUGCAUGUCUGCUUCUCUUUAACUUCUUUUCAAAGAUGGGAGACACAGCCCCUUAUCCUGUGGAGAAGAGCUCAUCUUCCUUAAAAUGUUAUGGCUUUUUGUAUAUGCACCGUCUUACUUUCUCAUGGAUGUCUUAAGGUACCACACCACUGUAGGGGAAGCUGUAGCCACACCUGCUUAGGGGCUGGCUACAGGUCUGCCUGACCACGCAUGCGAGGGCGUGGUCAGGGUGAUGUAGAGUAAGAGACAGUCAGGGGCCAUUUUUGGUUUCAGUUUCAUUUUCGGCUUGCUGUACAGACUGCUGCCCGCUGGCUGGCUAGGUCGCUCUUUAAAACAUGUCUUAAACAGGUUUUUGCUUCUGGCAAAUGUAUCUGAACAUCAGUUGCUUACUACAGCCUGCUCCUAAAGACUUCAAGCCUUGGACUUGCUGUGGAUGUGAACCAGUCUAGCUGAUGUGGACACCUCCUGUCUCUUCAACAGUCUGACAACCAGCUGCUUCUGAUGGAUUCCCCAUUGCCUGAAUUCCCUUUUUGCUUUUAACGAGCACUUCAGCCUUCUUAGGUCCCUAACAAUGCCCCAGAGUCAGCAGGAAGUAAAAUGGGAAAGCAUAUGUUGCCCCUUUUCCCUGAUUGAGAUGCUAAGUCAAAAAGGAAACUCCCUUAUAUAGGGGACAAUAUGACAACAGAAGCAAAUGUCAUUCCCUCAGAAAAAUCUGUCAGCUAAUGGCAGGACCUGUUAACACCCCUUUGAGCCCCUAACAGGCAGGACUCAAUCCUGAGUCCUGCCACUGGUACUUUGAGAAGGGGGAAUGAAGGGACUAUACCGCACCACCACGUUUUAGCAGCCAUGACAGGCUAACAGGUGCUUGCCUGACCUUGCUGGACAUGUCAUGGUCACCAGGAGGUCAGAUGCCCACCUUGUUGCAAGGAACCAAUCAAAAGUUAGCUGACAGAGCUGUGCUUUACAGCUCGGCUCUGGGUGUGUUUUACAGACAAGUGCACAACAGCGAUGUGAAAAGCAUAGCAACCGCCCAAGGAGGGCCUAUGGGUCAUAACAACCAGUUGACCAAUCAACACCGGGUAGGCCAUCCAAGCCUGGAAGUACACGAAUCCUGAGACAACACUCCCCUUAGGCUGCCCUAUAAGAUCCCUUCCUCGUGGUUUCUCAGGAUCGUUCUCCAACCAUCUGCCAUAGUGGAGAGAUGAAGGGCCCGAAUUAAUGGAGUUAGUUUGUUAAACAACAGCAAUAAAAGACACAUUGCUUUUGCAUCGAAA